AACGAACGCUGGCGGCAUGCCUAACACAUGCAAGUCGAACGUGAUCCUAGCUUGCUAGGUGAGAGUGGCGGACGGGUGAGUAACACGUGGGAAUCUGCCUUUUGGUUCGGGAUAACCGCGGGAAACUGCGGCUAAUACCGAAUGCCCUCGAGAGAGGAAAGAUUUAUCGCCAGAAGAGGAGCCCGCGUCCGAUUAGGUAGUUGGUGGGGUAAAGGCCUACCAAGCCGACGAUCGGUAGCUGGUCUGAGAGGAUGAUCAGCCACACUGGGACUGAGAUACGGCCCAGACUCCUACGGGAGGCAGCAGUGGGGAAUAUUGGACAAUGGGGGCAACCCUGAUCCAGCAAUGCCGCGUGAGUGAUGAAGGCCUUAGGGUUGUAAAGCUCUUUCACCCACGACGAUGAUGACGGUAGUGGGAGAAGAAGCCCCGGCUAACUUCGUGCCAGCAGCCGCGGUAAU
rnacentral:rRNA from 1 species